ACAAAUCCAAUAUGUGGGGAUGGGGUGAAUAACCCUAUUUUCAAUAUUAAACCGCUGGCCCGGUUAGGGCUAGUUGGAUAUAUAUGCGUGUUAUGUUGACAGUGUGUGUGAUUUUAAAAUUUAUUGA
rnacentral:misc_RNA from 1 species